rnacentral:lncRNA from 1 species
AUUUCUAGAGAGAGAAAGUGGGAAGAGAAGAUAAGGGUUUGGAGAGAAGAACUUGAAGAAUCCAAUUGGGAAAGCUUAGGAGCUAAAUUGAAGCCUAGGUUUGGUCUAAUCUUCAUCUAAGGUAAGGGGGUUAGUCUUUAUCAUAAUCAUGUUCAUUCUUUGCAAUUUUUCAUGAUUUGUAUGAAAUGGGUUGAAAUGAAUGAAUGGAUAAUUGUUGCUAAAUUCGUGC